rnacentral:rRNA from 1 species
AGUGAACGCUGGCGGUAGGCCUAACACAUGCAAGUCGAACGGCAGCACAGUAAGAGCUUGCCCUUACGGGUGGCGAGUGGCGGACGGGUGAGGAAUACAUCGGAAUCUACUUUUUCGUGGGGGAUAACGUAGGGAAACUUACGCUAAUACCGCAUACGACCUACGGGUGAAAGCAGGGGAUCUUCGGACCUUGCGCGAUUGAAUGAGCCGAUGUCGGAUUAGCUAGUUGGCGGGGUAAAGGCCCACCAAGGCGACGAUCCGUAGCUGGUCUGAGAGGAUGAUCAGCCACACUGGAACUGAGACACGGUCCAGACUCCUACGGGAGGCAGCAGUGGGGAAUAUUGGGCAAUGGGCGCAAGCCUGAUCCAGCCAUACCGCGUGGGUGAAGAAGGCCUUCGGGUUGUAAAGCCCUUUUGUUGGGAAAGAAAAGCAGCAGGUUAAUACCCCGCUGUUCUGACGGUACCCAAAGAAUAAGCACCGGCUAACUUCGUG